AUGGCCGUACGUCACUAGUGGCGUACGGCCUGCCGUGAGUCUGCGGGCUUUGUGGCCUUUCUCUUCCUCUUUUAUUAAAGCUCACCCAGCAUUUAGAGGCAGACAACACACAUAGCGAAACUUGCUGGCGCACGUUCGGAGACGAGAGCAACGCAGAUGCACAGCACCGGUCCAAAACACUGUUGUGUGGAUUCCGCCUGGCAGUGAGGUGAUCGGCACGCCAAGUUACAUGACUCUGGCCAACAGGAUGCCAGUUGUUGGGUGCCAUGCCAAACCAAGGCAGCAGAUGAUGGAGAUUAAGGCCGCUGCAAGGAUCAGGGGAGCAGAAGGUGAAAGAGGAGAGCCACAUGUGUCGAAGAGGUGGUGGCUGAAAAACGUCCUGCUGGUCAGAACUGUCCAAAUCCCUUUGCUGACGUUUCCAAGAAACAGCUAUCCAUGAGGACUUUCUUUCAGCUCCCGGGACGGGGAACACAGAGAGCCUCACAGGACCUCUCUGUGCAGCCUCCUCUCCACUGCCCUGCGCUUCACUUCAGCCCUCAUUGACUUCAUCACAAGCAUUUUCCCUUUUAGUGCAGGGGAAGAUGCAUAUUCUUUGCUCUUUAUAUAUAAAAAAAUAAAACUACCUCUUGUCUUAGAGCUGUCGCAUCCAGCUGGGCCAGUAGCCUCUGAGUUGAUGAGGCAGCCGCCGAGGCCACCGGCAACGUAAUCUGCUCUGAAGCGGGCCAUGAAUAUUUGAAGUGGAUUGUGGCGCAACACGAGGAGAGGAAGGGAGGCAUUCAGUGGAUUGGGGAGGAGAGUGUGCCUCAAUUUAUCUUUUAAUUACAUGCGGCUACAACACACAAAGGGGUCAUAGGGAUUUAAGGGAGGGUGAACUGAAAACGAUGCAUUCCGUGGCGAUGCUACAGAACUCCUCCCCCCGACGCAGAAAAAGAACAUCUUCUUUAAGCCCAGGGGAUUCUUACCCAUUCAGAACAAGAGUUUGAAUUUUUUCUUUUUUAUCUUUAUGAGGUAAUAUCUUUAAAAUGAUAAUUUCUCAAAUGUUGCAACAAUUGUAUUUUUCUUUUUUAUCUUUAUGAGGUAAUAUCUUUAAAAUGAUAAUUUCUCAAAUGUUGCAACAAUUGUAUUUAUGUUUAUUUUCCCCCGAAAACCAGCAUACGAUUAUUUCUACUACUCCAGCUUCUAAUAGUAUAGAUAUUUAUGUGUCGUCCUAUCUUAGAAUCGCUUCACAUUUGUUCGUGGGUCAGUUUUAGAAUACAAAUCUAUCAGAGCAGGACAACGUUGACCUAUAUGCCCAUUUACAGCAGCACAUAUCACAUUAUUAACCCCACUCAUCAACUCACAACUCCCUCUGAACUCAGAGACAGGCACACAUAAAGCGAAGUGCCCCAUACCCCUCCACCCGCCACUAUGAACGUCGGCCCUCGACCUCCUUUACCUUGGAAGAAACUCUUGACGCGGAGGUAGGAGACUGCGAGGCGCAGCACGGACAGCUUGUCCAGCUUGGAGAUGACAUCCGGGGGGAACGGCAGCAGGCUGGCCAGCCGGUCCAGCUCAGCGUUCAGCCUGUCUCUGUGCCGCUUGGACGGGUUGGUUUUCUCAUUGGCAGAGGACAGCUUCCUGAUGGCAAGACGGACAGAGGGGAGAGACAUAGAUGGGGGUUAAAUGGGCAUCGGGACGUGCACUUGAGACCAUCACAAGUCACACUCUCAGCUGUAAAAUAUGAACAGCUUCGACGACAAAGUCGGGACAAACUUGAAACAUUUAAAAAAGAUGUUGUUAUUAUUACCGCUAAACAUUUUAUAAAUUGUAAAAACCCUGUAUGCAAUGUGUCUUAACACAAACAAAAACAAGAAGUGGAGCCAUGUUGUUGUUUUUUUCCGAUUGCACCCAAGUAUUAAAGGAAGCUUUGGUAUGAAUUUAUUUAUAAGAAA